GUGGGGAAUAUUGGACAAUGGGCGCAAGCCUGAUCCAGCCAUGCCGCGUGUGUGAAGAAGGCCUUCGGGUUGUAAAGCACUUUUGUCCGGGAAGAAAUCUUCCAGGUUAAUACCCUGGGAGGCUGACGGUACCGGAAGAAUAAGCACCGGCUAACUUCGUGCCAGCAGCCGCGGUAAUACGAAGGGUGCAAGCGUUACUCGGAAUUACUGGGCGUAAAGCGUGCGUAGGUGGUUCGUUAAGUCUGCCGUGAAAGCCCCGGGCUCAACCUGGGAAUGGCGGUGGAUACUGGCGGGCUAGAGUGCGGUAGAGGAUGGCGGAAUUCCCGGUGUAGCGGUGAAAUGCGUAGAGAUCGGGAGGAACAUCCGUGGCGAAGGCGGCCAUCUGGACCAGCACUGACACUGAGGCACGAAAGCGUGGGGAGCAAACAGGAUUAGAAACCCGGGUAGUCC
rnacentral:rRNA from 1 species